rnacentral:rRNA from 1 species
GACGAACGCUGGCGGCGUGCUUAACACAUGCAAGUCGAACGGAAAGGCCCUGCUUUUGUGGGGUGCUCGAGUGGCGAACGGGUGAGUAACACGUGAGUAACCUGCCCUUGACUUUGGGAUAACUUCAGGAAACUGGGGCUAAUACCGGAUAGGAGCUCCUGCUGCAUGGUGGGGGUUGGAAAGUUUCGGCGGUUGGGGAUGGACUCGCGGCUUAUCAGCUUGUUGGUGGGGUAGUGGCUUACCAAGGCUUUGACGGGUAGCCGGCCUGAGAGGGUGACCGGCCACAGUGGGACUGAGAUACGGCCCAGACUCCUACGGGAGGCAGCAGUGGGAAAUAUUGCACAAUGGGCGGAAGCCUGAUGCAGCAACGCCGCGUGCGGGAUGACGGCCUUCGGGUUGUAAACCGCUUGCGCCUGUGACGAAGCGUGAGUGACGGUAAUGGGUAAAGAAGCACCGGCUAACUACGUG